ACGGCUCAGAAACACGUGGACAAUUUACCCUUGGGACCAGGAUAACCCCUGGAAAACUGGGGCUAAUACUGGAUGGAGCAUCGGCUGCUGGAAUGCGCGAUGCUCGAAAGCUGAGGCGCCCAAGGAUAGGUCUGCGGCUGAUUAGGUUGUUGUUGAUGUAACGAAUCACCAAGCCCGCGAUCGGUACGGGUUGUGAAAGCAAUAGCCCGGAAAUGGGUUCUGAAAAAAGAACCCAGGUCCUACGGGACGCAUCAGGCGCGAAAACUUUACAAUGUGCGAAAGCGCGAUAAGGGAACUCUGAGUGCCUCCUAAGGAGGCUGUUCAGGUGUCUAAAAAGCAUCUGGAGUAAGGGCUGGGCAAAACCGGUGCCAGCCGCCGCGGUAACACCGGCAGCUCAAGUGGUAGCCAUGCUUAUUGGGUCUAAAGCGUCCGUAGCCGGCUGAGUAAGUUCCUUGGGAAAUUUGACCGCUUAACGGUUAAGCUAUCAGGAAAUACUGCUUGGCUUGGAACCGGGAGAGGUCAAAGGUACUCCAGGGGUAGGGGUGAAAUCUAUUAAUCCUUGGGGAACCACCGGUAGCGAAGGCGUCUGACCAGACCGGGUCCAACGGUGAGGGACGAAGGCUGGGGUCGCGAA
rnacentral:rRNA from 1 species